GGCCGGUUGGCCAAUUGGUAAGGCGUCUGACUACGAUCAAAGCACACACGCCCUGUGUUCUCAACAUCAUCGAUAAUCAGGAGAUUCUGGGUUCGAGCCCCGGCUGGUCA
rnacentral:tRNA from 1 species